AAACCGUGAAAAACACUUGUCGAACCAUGCUGAGGGUAAAUCAGCCGUGAGGUUGCACGUGUGGACAUCAUCUACAUAGAUAAUAAAUCGCAUCUCUGUAACAGACUUUUAUUUUGACACUACCGGUCAUUUUAGACUUAUGCUGUGUGUAUGAUUUCCAGUUUGCUCAGCUGACAUCUGUUGACCUAAGAAGUCUUUCUUCAGUGGACUGGAUCAGCAUUUGUCAAGGUUCCUGGAGCUGUUCAAGGCCAAGAGUGGGAAAUCAGCUGGACUAAGCAGGCAGCUUAAAUGUCUUGAUGACUCCUCUAUGCUGAGGAAGAGGUCAGUUGUUCUUCCGGUGCCUUCCGUAUUUUCUCAAGGAUGAUCCUUCAAAUGCAUUCAAGACUGUUCAGGCCAUUGACGAGGAAGCCACACUCACUCGGGGAAUGAAAGUUGGAGUUCUGCUGGUGAAAGAUGGAGAGGACAUCAUUGCCACAUCAGUCAUUCUUGAGGAACAAGUGGUCCUGCCUGAUGUGGAGGACAUUCCUCAUGCCAUUGCUCUACUGAUGGGUCUGCUUUUUGCCUUUAAUAUAGACUAUCCAAAGGAACUCAGGUACACAUUUGAAGUUUUUCAAAAGGUCCUGAUGAACAUCGGCGGAGGUCAGUGUUCCUCCCUUGUGCAUGGUUUGAAAAACAGACUGUUACAAAAAACCAUGUAGAUUCUCCUGAAAUGUCUCAUCUCAUGACUCAUGGAUGUCUGAGCUUUUUGAAAGCACUCAACAUUUCCUGUUAAACAUUGUUCCAAAGGUCAUAUAGAAGUUUGGCACAUGGUUUGGAAUUCUUGUUUUGUUAUUUCAUCUGUUUAGGUUUAUUCCAUCAGAAAAUAUAGUCAUAUCAGUUCAAAGCCAAUCAAAUGCAUAGGUUGAUAAAAAGUAUUGCAAUAAAGAGGUCAACAUAAGACCAAAUGAUAGAUGACAAGAUUAAAAUGUGCACUAUUUGUU